rnacentral:rRNA from 1 species
AACGAGACGGGAUGGAAUGACCCUUCGGGGGAAUGAAAUCCUAGAAAGUGGCGAACGGGUGAGUAACGCGUGGGUAACCUGCCCUAUGGAAAGGAAUAGCCUCGGGAAACUGGGAGUAAUGCCUUAUAAUAUACGAGAGUCGCAUGGCUUUUGUAUUAAACGCUCCGGUGCCAUAGGAUGGACCCGCGUCCCAUUAGCUAGUUGGUGAGAUAACAGCCCACCAAGGCAACGAUGGGUAACCGGUCUGAGAGGGCGAACGGUCACACUGGAACUGAGACACGGUCCAGACUCCUACGGGAGGCAGCAGUGGGGAAUAUUGCGCAAUGGGGGCAACCCUGACGCAGCAAUAUCGCGUGAGUGAAGAAGGUUUUCGGAUCGUAAAGCUCUGUUAUUGGGGAAGAAAAAAGACGGUACCCAAGAAGAAAGUCCCGGCUAACUACGUGCCAGCAGCCGCGGUAAUACGUAGGGGACAAGCGUUGUCCGGAUUUACUGGGCGUAAAGGGCACGCAGGCGGUUUUUUAAGUCAGAUGUGAAAGGUACCGGCUCAACCGGUGACAUGCAUUUGAAACUGAAAGACUUGAGUAUUGGAGAGGCAAGUGGAAUUCCUAGUGUAGCGGUGAAAUGCGUAGAUAUUAGGAGGAACACCGGUGGCGAAGGCGGCUUGCUGGACA